rnacentral:tRNA from 1 species
GGGAUCGUGGCGUAAUGGCGAGCGCAGCCGCCUCUCUGAGCGGCCAGGCAGAGGCUCGCCACCCCCUCGAUCCACG